rnacentral:rRNA from 1 species
CCUACGGGCGGCAGCAGUGAGGAAUAUUGGUCAAUGGGCGCGAGCCUGAACCAGCCAAGUAGCGUGAAGGAUGACUGCCCUACGGGUUGUAACCUUCUUUUAUAAAGGAAUAAAGUGAGGCACGUGUGCCUUUUUGUAUGUACUUUAUGAAUAAGGCUCGGCUAACUCCGUGCCAGCAGCCGCGUUAAUCCGGAGGAUCCGAGCGUUAUCCGGAUUUAUUGGGUUUAAAGGGAGAGUAGAUGGGUUGUUAAGUCAGUUGUGAAAGUUUGCGGCGCAACCGUAAAAUUGCAAUUGAUACUGGCAGUCGUGAGUACAGUUGAGGUAGGCGGAAUGCGUGGUGUAGCGGUGAAAUGCUUAGAUAUCACGAAGAACUCCGAUUGCGAAGGCAGCUUACUAACCUGCCACUGACAGUGAUGCUCGAAAGUGUGGGUAUCAAACAGGAUUAGAGACCCCUGUAGUC